AAUAGAUACCCAGGUGGUCCACGCCGUAAACGAUGAGUGCUAAGUGUUAGAGGGUUUCCGCCCUUUAGUGCUGCAGCUAACGCAUUAAGCACUCCGCCUGGGGAGUACGGUCGCAAGACUGAAACUCAAAGGAAUUGACGGGGGCCCGCACAAGCGGUGGAGCAUGUGGUUUAAUUCGAAGCAACGCGAAGAACCUUACCAGGUCUUGACAUCCCACUGACCGGUAUAGAGAUAUACCUUUCCCUUCGGGGACAGUGGUGACAGGUGGUGCAUGGUUGUCGUCAGCUCGUGUCGUGAGAUGUUGGGUUAAGUCCCGCAACGAGCGCAACCCUUGAUCUUAGUUGCCAGCAUUUAGUUGGGCACUCUAAGGUGACUGCCGGUGACAAACCGGAGGAAGGUGGGGAUGACGUCAAAUCAUCAUGCCCCUUAUGACCUGGGCUACACACGUGCUACAAUGGAUGGUACAAAGGGCUGCAAGACUGCGAAGUCAAGCCAAUCCCAUAAAACCAUUCUCAGUUCGGAUUGCAGG
rnacentral:rRNA from 1 species